rnacentral:rRNA from 1 species
CACGUAGGGCGCGAGCGUUGUCCGGAAUUAUUGGGCGUAAAGAGCUCGUAGGCGGCCUGUUGCGUCCGCUGUGAAAGCCCGGGGCUUAACCCCGGGUCGGCAGUGGAUACGGGCAGGCUAGAGGUAGGUAGGGGAGAAUGGAAUUCCCGGUGUAGCGGUGAAAUGCGCAGAUAUCAGGAGGAACACCGGCGGCGAAGGCGGCCCUCUGGAUCGUUGCUGACGCUGAGACGCGAAAGCGUGGGGAGCAAACAGG